CGCGGCCUAUCAGCUUGUUGGGGGGGUGACGGCCCACCAAGGCGACGACGGGUAGCCGGCCUGAGAGGGCGACCGGCCACACUGGGACUGAGACACGGCCCAGACUCCUACGGGAGGCAGCAGUGGGGAAUCUUGCGCAAUGGGCGAAAGCCUGACGCAGCAACGCCGCGUGCGGGAAUACGGCCUUCGGGUUGUAAACCGCUUUCAGCAGGGACGAAAUUGACGGUACCUGCAGAAGAAGCCCCGGCCAACUACGUGCCAGCAGCCGCGGUAAGACGUAGGGGGCGAGCGUUGUCCGGAAUCAUUGGGCGUAAAGGGCUCCUAGGCGGUUCAGUAAGUCGACUGUGAAAAUCCAAGGCUCUACCUUGGGACGCCAGUCGAUACUGCUGUGACUCGAGUCCGGUAGAGGAGUGUGGAAUUUCUGGUGUAGCGGUGAAAUGCGCAGAUAUCAGAAGGAACACCAACGGCGAAGGCAGCACUCUGGGCCGGUACUGACGCUGAAGAGCGAAAGCAUGGGGAGCAAACAGGAUUAGAUGCCCUGGUAGUCCAUGCCGUAAACGUUGGGCACUAGGUGUGGGGUCUUAUCAACGGACUCCGUGCCGCAGCUAACGCAUUAAGUGCCCCGCCUGGGGAGUACGG
rnacentral:rRNA from 1 species